GGCCUUCGGGUGCCGACGAGUGGCGAACGGGUGAGUAAUGUAUCGGAACGUACCUUUCAGUGGGGGAUAACGUAGCGAAAGUUACGCUAAUACCGCAUAUUCUGUGAGCAGGAAAGCAGGGGAUCGCUUUGCCUUGCGCUGAUUGAGCGGCCGAUAUCAGAUUAGCUAGUUGGUGAGGUAAAGGCUCACCAAGGCGACGAUCUGUAGCGGGUCUGAGAGGAUGAUCCGCCACACUGGAACUGAGACACGGUCCAGACUCCUACGGGAGGCAGCAGUGGGGAAUUUUGGACAAUGGGGGCAACCCUGAUCCAGCCAUGCCGCGUGAGUGAAGAAGGCCUUCGGGUUGUAAAGCUCUUUCGGCCGGGAAGAAAUCGUAUGGGUUAAUACCCUGUGCGGAUGACGGUACCGGCAUAAGAAGCACCGGCUAACUACGUGCCAGCAGCCGCGGUAAUACGUAGGGUGCGAGCGUUAAUCGGAAUUACUGGGCGUAAAGCGUGCGCAGGCGGUUUUGUAAGACAGGCGUGAAAUCCCCGGGCUCAACCUGGGAACUGCGCUUGUGACUGCAAGGCUAGAGUACGGCAGAGGGGGGUGGAAUUCCACGUGUAGCAGUGAAAUGCGUAGAGAUGUGGAGGAACACCAAUGGCGAAGGCAGCCCCCUGGGUCGAUACUGACGCUCAUGCACGAAAGCGUGGGUAGCAAACAGGAUUAGAUACCCUGGUAGUCCACGCCCUAAACGAUGUCAACUAGGUGUUGGGUGGGUAAACCAUUUAGUACCGGAGCUAACGCGUGAAGUUGACCGCCUGGGGAGUACGGCCGCAAGGUUAAAACUCAAAGGAAUUGACGGGGACCCGCACAAGCGGUGGAUGAUGUGGAUUAAUUCGAUGCAACGCGAAAAACCUUACCUACCCUUGACAUGUCCAGGAGCCUGAAGAGAUUUGGGUGUGCCCGAAAGGGAACUGGAACACAGGUGCUGCAUGGCUGUCGUCAGCUCGUGUCGUGAGAUGUUGGGUUAAGUCCCGCAACGAGCGCAACCCUUGUCGUUAAUUGCCAUCAUUUAGUUGGGCACUUUAACGAGACUGCCGGUGACAAACCGGAGGAAGGUGGGGAUGACGUCAAGUCCUCAUGGCCCUUAUGGGUAGGGCUUCACACGUCAUACAAUGGUCGGUACAAAGGGUCGCCAACCCGCGAGGGGGAGCCAAUCCCAGAAAGCCGAUCGUAGUCCGGAUCGUAGGCUGCAACUCGCCUGCGUGAAGUCGGAAUCGCUAGUAAUCGUGGAUCAGCAUGUCACGGUGAAUACGUUCCCGGGUCUUGUACACACCGCCCGUCACACCAUGGGAGCGGGUUCCGCCAGAAGUAGGUAGCCUAACCGCAAGGGGGGCGCUUACCACGGCGGGGUUCGUGACUGGGGUGAAGUCGGAA
rnacentral:rRNA from 1 species